rnacentral:rRNA from 1 species
UGGUCAAGUUAUUAAGGGUGCAGGGCGGAUGCCUUGGCACUAGGAGCCGAUGAAGGACGUGAUAAGCUGCGAUAAGCUUCGGGGAGUUGCACGUAAACUUUGAUCCGAAGAUUUCCGAAUGAGGAAACUCACUUAGAGUAAUGUCUAAGUAUCAUUAAGUGAAUACAUAGCUUAAUGAGGGGAACUCAGGGAACUGAAACAUCUAAGUACCUGAAGGAAGAGAAAGAAAUUCGAUUCCGUAAGUAGCGGCGAGCGAACGCGGAUUAGCCCAAACCAAUAAAGUUUUCUUUAUUGGGGUUGCGGACAUAUCAUAACGAAGAGGUAUCGUAAUUGAAGAGGUUUGGAAAGACCCACCACAGAAGGUAAUAGUCCUGUAUGUUAAACGAGAAGACUUUAGAUAUGAUCCAGAGUACCACGG